ensembl:snoRNA SNORA73 Small nucleolar RNA SNORA73 family
CCAAAAAAAAUAAAAAAUAAGCUUGGUCCUGGGCUCUGUCCUCGUGGCCUAGGGGAGCAUAGGGCUCUGCCCAGUGAUGUAUAGGUCCUUUUCACAAUGUUGGAUAUGAAGCCGGGCUUUGUGUCUGCGCCUGCAUAUUCCUAUAGCUUCCCAGAGUCCUGUGAACACUGUGCACUCUGGGGAGAUAAACCAUGCAGAAAACAAUA